UACGUAGGUGGCGAGCGUUGUCCGGAUUUACUGGGCGUAAAGGGCGUGCAGGCGGUUUGCUAAGUCUAGGGUGAAAGCUCCCGGCUUAACUGGGAGAGGUCCUUGGAUACUGGCAGACUUGAGGAGGGUAGAGGAGAGUGGAAUUCCCGGUGUAGUGGUGAUAUGCGUAGAUAUCGGGAGGAACACCAGUGGCGAAGGCGGCUCUCUGGGCCCUACCUGACGCUGAGGCACGAAAGCGUGGGGAGCAAACAGG
rnacentral:rRNA from 1 species